rnacentral:rRNA from 1 species
UACAGAGGUCUCAAGCGUUGUUCGGAUUCAUUGGGCGUAAAGGGUGCGUAGGCGGCGCGGUAAGUCGGGUGUGAAAUCUCUGAGCUUAACUCCGAAACUGCAUUCGAUACUGCCGUGCUUGAGGACUGGAGAGGAGACUGGAAUUUACGGUGUAGCGGUGAAAUGCGUAGAUAUCGUAAGGAAGACCAGUGGCGAAGGCGGGUCUCUGGACAGUUCCUGACGCUGAGGCACGAAGGUCAGGGGAGCAAACGGG